CCUACGUGAGGCAGCAGUGGGGAAUAUUGCGCAAUGGGCGAAAGCCUGACGCAGCGACGCCGCGUGAGGGAUGAAGGUCUUCGGAUCGUAAACCUCUGUCAGCAGGGAAGUACGGUCACUGUGCUAAUCAGCAGUGAAUUGACGGUACCUGCAAAGGAAGCACCGGCUAACUCCGUGCCAGCAGCCGCGGUAAUACGGAGGGUGCGAGCGUUAAUCGGAAUUACUGGGCGUAAAGCGUUCGUAGGCGGUAUGUCAAGUCAAGGGUGAAAUCCCCGCGCUCAACGUGGGAACUGCCUUUGAAACUGGCAAACUGGAGUGUGUGAGAGGAUAGUGGAAUGCCAGGUGUAGGAGUGAAAUCCGUAGAUAUCUGGAGGAACAUCAGUGGCGAAGGCGACUAUCUGGCACAUAACUGACGCUGAGGAGCGAAAGCGUGGGUAGCAAACAGGAUUAGAUACCCUUGUAGUC
rnacentral:rRNA from 1 species